rnacentral:tRNA from 1 species
GCCUGAGUGGCUCAGUCAGUAGAGCUUCCGACUCUUGAUCCCAGAGUUGUGAGUUCAAGCCUCACAUUGGGAA